CUCUACAAUAGUGGGUAAAACGAUUUUGAAGCAGAAUUACCAGAUUCAAGUACCUCAAAAAGAGACCUUCAACUGUCUCUUUGAUCAAGUUAUUUUUUGCAAUCAUUGAUGCAUGCAAUGCCCCUGAUACGCUUGCUGCCUCUCAUAUGUGCUACAAUUGAUCGAAUUUUGCAAUCAUGAUGCAGAUGCUUCUCAUAUUGCACCACCUCUUUACCGCGUUGCCUAUGUCGGCUAGGCCACACCACCACACCCACGGGUAUAUAUAUCACUAUGAGCGCAACCAUUCAACAAAUGGUUACGUUGGCCUUUUGCUAUGGGUAACCUAGUGGUCAGAGUGCUACAUUAUCACAUAACAAUAUGACCAACAUAAUUUGUAUUUCAAAUAGUACUAAGGUCACCAAUUGGUAGUACGCCCGUUACAACAAUGAUUCAAAUAAAGAAAUUCAAAUAAAAUAAAAAUAUAAAAGAGGAAGGAAAUAAUGAAAAAGAAACAAAUAACACAAGGCCCGCUGAGGUAUAAUUCUCAAAUGCAAAAAAAAAAAAAAUUAAAAAAAAAAAAUUAUAUAAAUAUACAUUAAAUCAACAGGAUCGCGAAAGUAAAUAAAGCAAUAAUAUAAUAAAUAUUGCGCACCGCCGAAAUGGACUUGAAAAUGUAAAUAAUAUAAAAAGAUUGGGGAGCCUGGACAGAGUGAGGUGAUACAAAAUCUAUUCAAUCUACUGCUUCCUCCGCCGGGUCCCAGUACGGAGAGGAAGGAUAGGACGACUCCUAUAGUCGCAGAGC
rnacentral:sRNA from 1 species